rnacentral:rRNA from 1 species
GCCUACGGCCAUACAACCAUGGCAACGCCCGAUCUCGUCUGAUCUCGGAAGCUAAGCAGGGUCGGGGCCCGUUAGUACUGGGAUGGGAGAACCUUCCUGGGAAUACCGGGUGCUGUAGGCU